rnacentral:rRNA from 1 species
GAUGAACGCUGGCGGCGUGCCUAAUACAUGCAAGUCGAGCGAAUGGAUUAAGAGCUUGCUCUUAUGAAGUUAGCGGCGGACGGGUGAGUAACACGUGGGUAACCUGCCCAUAAGACUGGGAUAACUCCGGGAAACCGGGGCUAAUACCGGAUAACAUUUUGAACCGCAUGGUUCGAAAUUGAAAGGCGGCUUCGGCUGUCACUUAUGGAUGGACCCGCGUCGCAUUAGCUAGUUGGUGAGGUAACGGCUCACCAAGGCAACGAUGCGUAGCCGACCUGAGAGGGUGAGCGGCCACACUGUGACUGAGACACGGCCCAGACUCCUACGGGAGGCAGCAGUAGGGAAUCUUCCGCAAUGGACGAGAGUCUGACGGAGCAACGCCGCGUGAGUGAUGAAGGCUUUCGGGUCGUAAAACUCUGUUGUUAGGGAAGAACAAGUGCUAGUUGAAUAAGCUGGCACCUUGACGGUACCUAACCAGAAAGCCACGGCUAACUACGUGCCAGCCGCCGCAGUAA